rnacentral:rRNA from 1 species
UGAGGAAUAUUGGGCAAUGCCCGCAAGGGUGACCCAGCAACGCCGCGUGGAGGAUGAAUGUCGUAAGAUUGUAAACUCCUGUUAGAGGGGAAGAAUAGUACCGGUUGGACCGGUAUAUGACUGUACCCCCAGAGAAAGCCUUGGCUGACUACGUGCCAGCAGCCGCGGUAAUACGUAGGGGGCAAGCGUUGUCCGGAUUUACUGGGUGUAAAGGGCGCGCAGGCGGGAUAAAAAGUCAGUGGUAAAAUCCUACAGCUUAACUGUAGAACUGCCUUUGAUACUUUUAUUCUUGAGUUCGGGAGAGAGAGACGGAAUUCCAGGUGUCGUGGUGAAAUACGUAGAUAUCUGGAAGAACACCAGUUGCGAAGGCGGUCUCUUGGUCCGACACUGACGCUGAGGCGCGAAAGCGUGGGGAGCAAACA